UACGAAGGGGGCUAGCGUUGCUCGGAAUCACUGGGCGUAAAGCGCACGUAGGCGGGUCUUUAAGUCAGGGGUGAAAUCCUGGAGCUCAACUCCAGAACUGCCUUUGAUACUGAAGAUCUUGAGUUCGGGAGAGGUGAGUGGAACUGCGAGUGUAGAGGUGAAAUUCGUAGAUAUUCGCAAGAACACCAGUGGCGAAGGCGGCUCACUGGCCCGAUACUGACGCUGAUGCACGAAAGCGUGGGGAGCAAGCAGG
rnacentral:rRNA from 1 species